rnacentral:rRNA from 1 species
AUACGUAGGGAGCGAGCGUUGUCCGGAAUUACUGGGUGUAAAGGGCGUGUAGGCGGGCUGUCAAGUCAGAUGUGAAAUUCCCGGGCUUAACCUGGGCGCUGCAUUUGAAUCUGAUGGUCUUGAGUGCUGGAGAGGAAAGCGGAAUUCCUAGUGUAGCGGUGAAAUGCGUAGAUAUUAGGAAGAACACCAGUGGCGAAGGCGGCUUCCUGGACUGUAACUGACGCUGAGGCACGAAAGCGUGGGGAGC